rnacentral:rRNA from 1 species
CGAGGCAGAGAUGCGUAGCUGAUGGGAAGCAGGUUAAUAUUCCUGCACCGUCGUAUGAUGCGAUGGGGGGACGGAUCGCGGAAGGUUGUCUGACUGUUGGAAUAGUCAGUUUCUGGUUCAUAGAAGGCGCUUAGGCAAAUCCGGGCGCGUAAUUCAAGGGACUGGGACGAAGAACUUAGGUUCUGUAGCAAUCGGAAGUGGUUCCAAGAAAAGCCUCUAAGCUUCAGUCAUACGAGACCGUACCGCAAACCGACACAGGUGGGCGAGAUGAGUA